AUAUAGACGGAGCGACUCAGAGAACACGUGUAUCGAGCGACGACGCUGUCGUCGUGGGAUGGCCGGCCCGGUCGUCGCCCUCAUCUCCUGAUGGGUAGUGCGGGGCACGGCCAGGGACGGAUGAAAGCAAAAACCGGCGCAGCAUCGCGUCAAGGAAUAAUUCAAAGGCACGAGCCCCGCGUGGGGCUCGGUGGCGUGGGGUGCUUCGGCACGUUGCGCGGUUGGACAUGACUCUCGGCAAUGGAUAUCUCGGCUCUCGCAUCGAUGAAGAGCGCAGCGAAAUGCGAUACGUGGUGCGAAUUGCAGAAUCCCGCGAACCAUCGAGUCUUUGAACGCAAGUUGCGCCCGAGGCCGUCAGGCCAAGGGCACGUCCGCCUGGGCGUCAAGCGUUGCGUCGCUCCGUGCCACAGCUCUGACCGCAUCGCAGUGUGGAGUUUGAGGCUCGGAUGUGCAGAGUGGCUCGUCGUGCCCAUCAGUGCGACGGGUUGAAGAAAGGGCAACGUCUCGCAGGCCGCGAACAACAAGGGGUGGGUGAAUGCUGCGAGCACAACCUGCGUUGUCUCGUGUUGGCCCGAGAGAUGGAUCGCGCCUUCAAGGUGAUCCCGACCCAUGCACCGAUCCGCAUCCGGGCGGUGUCU
rnacentral:rRNA from 1 species